GUGAUUCCAGUUGAUCCUGCUGGAGAGCACUGCUAUCGGAGUCCGACUAAGGCAUGCAAGUCUGAUCCUACCCUUUGGUAGGAUGGCGAACGGCUGAGUAACGCAUGGACAACUUACCCUAAGGAUCUGGAUAACCUCGGGAAACUGAGGAUAAACCAGAAUAGGAGAGAGAUACUGGAAUGUUCUCUCUCCGAAAGUACUAUGGGGAAUAGCCCAUAGUAGCCUUAGGAUAGGUCUGUGUGGGAUUAUGGUAGUUGGUGAGGUAACGGCUCACCAAGCCUAUGAUCCCUAGGGGCCAUGAAAGUGGGAGCCCCCAGAAGGGCACUGAGACAAGGGCCCUAGCCCUACGGGGUGCAGCAGCCGCGAAACCUCUGCAAUGCGCGAAAGCGUGACAGGGGGACUCCGAGUGAUAUGGGUCUUAAGCCUAUAUCUUUUCCCAAGUGUAAAAAGCUUGGGGAAUAAGGGUGUGGGCAAGACCGGUGGCAGCCGCCGCGGUAACACCGGCGCCUCAAGUGGUGCUCACGAUUAUUGGGCUUAAAGCGCCCGUAGCCGGUUUAGUGUGUGCACUGUGAAAUGUUGGGGCUCAACUCCAACACGUGCAGUGUAUACUACUAGACUAGGGAGCGGGGGAGGAGGAGGGUACGUUCAGGCUAGCGGUAAAAUGCGUUGAACCUGAACGGACCACCAGUGGCGAAGGCGCUCCUCCAAAACGCGUCCGACGGUGAGGGGCGAAGGCUAGGGGAGCAAAAGGGAUUAGAUACCCCUGUAGUCCUAGCUGUAAAUGAUGCCCACUGCUCCUUACUGCUGCUCUGUGCAGUGGUAGGGGGUAAGCGAAAGCGUUAAGUGGGCCGCCUGGGGAGUACGGCCGCAAGGCUAAAACUUAAAGGAAUUGGCGGGGGAGUACCACAAGGGGUGGAUGCUACGGUUUAAUCGGAUACAACGCCGAGAAACUCACCCGGAGAGACAGCGGGAUGAAGUUGUGGCUGAAGACCACGACAGACUAGCUGAGAGGUGUUGCAUGGCCAUCGUCAGCUCGUGGUGUGAACUGUCCGGUUAAGUCCGGCAACGAGCGAGACCCACAUCCUUAGUUGCCACUCCUAUCUCCGGAUAGGAAGCACACUAAGGAGACUGCCCGCGUUUUAAGUGGGAGGAAGGAGUGGGCGACGGUAGGUCCGUAUGGCCCGAAUCUCCGGGGCUACACGCGGCAUACAAUGGGUAGAACAACGGGAUGCCACCUCGUAAGAGGGAGCCAAUCCUUAAAUCUACCCUCAGUUCGGAUCGAGGGCUGCAACUCGCCCUCGUGAAGCUGGAAUCCCUAGUAAUCGCGGGUCAUCAUCCCGCGGUGAAUAUGUCCCUGCUCCUUGCACACACCGCCCGUCAAGUCAGCCAAGCUCGGCUGGGGUGAGGGUCGAAAGAUUCGAACCCUGGCUGGGUGAGGGGGGCUAAGUCGUAACAAGGUAUCCGUAGGGGAACCUGCGGAUAGAUCACCUCA
rnacentral:rRNA from 1 species